CUACAGGCUGCAGCAGUGGGGAAUAUUGGGCAAUGGGCGCAAGCCUGACCCAGCAACGCCGCGUGAGGGAAGAAGGUUUUCGGAUUGUAAACCUCUGUCCUUGGGGACGAAGAAGUGACGGUACCCAAGGAGGAAGCUCCGGCUAACUACGUGCCAGCAGCCGCGGUAAUACGUAGGGAGCAAGCGUUGUCCGGAAUUACUGGGCGUAAGGGGUGCGUAGGCGGCAUAUUAAGUCAGGUGUGAAAUACUCGGGCUCAACCCGGGGGCUGCAUUUGAAACUGAUAUGCUUGAGUGUGAGAGAGGAAAGUGGAAUUCCUAGUGUAGCGGUGGAAUGCGUAGAUAUUAGGAGGAACACCAGUGGCGAAGGCGACUUUCUGGCUCAUAACUGACGCUGAGGCACGAAAGCGUGGGGAGCAAACAGGAUUAGAUACCCGAGUAGUC
rnacentral:rRNA from 1 species